CGGUUGCGAGUCGGGGCGUGCGGUGGAACUGUCGUCGCGCCCGCACGCCACACACGACUACGGUUGUCGUCUCCCACGAUUCGCCACUCGCUCCCAUCGCGGUUUCAUUACUCCCCCUCCCCUUCAUUACUCCCCAACCCACCAUCCACAUCAGUUGCAUUCGAUUGGAGGAGAAGAGGAGAGGAGGAGGCGGCGGCGGCGGAAGAGUCGACGGCAUUCGCGGCCGUUGCUGGGGUUCACCGGGCCGGAGCAUCUUCGCCGGAGCAGCCGCAGUGAGAGGCACAAUGGCUCGCGGUGACCAUCAAGAUGAUGAUGAUGACUUCAUGGAGUUACCUCCAUAGAAUCGUGUGACCAGUCGGAUAAAAGAUGGCGAUGAGAAGAAGAAACGUCAAUGCAACAGGGCUUCGCAAGAAAGCCUGACUAUACUAACCGAGGGAUUUACUGAUGAGCAGAAGGGAGCUGCCAGUGAGAUGGGGAUCCAGGCUCUGAUGGAUGUUCGGUGCAAGAACCUAGUAAAUCCUGUAUGCGAUUGGCACGAUGAGAUAUAUGAGCCUGCGUCUAGGGAAUUCGUGAUUCCGGGACAUGGAAGACUGCCUUUGGAUGAGGAAUCUGUGUUAUGCACUUUGGCUGUGCCCCGUGGAGAAAUCAGAGUGUCGUAUGAGGUGGAUAAUGAG